AGAGUUUGAUCCUGGCUCAGGACGAACGCUGGCGGCGUGCCUAACACAUGCAAGUCGAACGGAACUGUUUUGAAAGAUUUCUUCGGAAUGAAUUUGAUUUAGUUUAGUGGCGGACGGGUGAGUAACGCGUGAGUAACCUGCCUUCAAGAGGGGGAUAACAUUCUGAAAAGGAUGCUAAUACCGCAUGACAUAUCGGAACCACAUGGUUUUGAUAUCAAAGAUUUUAUCGCUUGAAGAUGGACUCGCGUCCGAUUAGUUAGUUGGUGAGGUAACGGCUCACCAAGACCGCGAUCGGUAGCCGGACUGAGAGGUUGAACGGCCACAUUGGGACUGAGACACGGCCCAGACUCCUACGGGAGGCAGCAGUGGGGGAUAUUGCGCAAUGGGGGCAACCCUGACGCAGCAACGCCGCGUGAAGGAUGAAGGUUUUCGGAUUGUAAACUUCUUUUAUUAAGGACGAAAAAUGACGGUACUUAAUGAAUAAGCUCCGGCUAACUACGUGCCAGCAGCCGCGGUAAUACGUAGGGAGCAAGCGUUGUCCGGAUUUACUGGGUGUAAAGGGUGCGUAGGCGGCUUUGCAAGUCAGAUGUGAAAUCUAUGGGCUCAACCCAUAAACUGCAUUUGAAACUGUAGAGCUUGAGUGAAGUAGAGGCAGGCGGAAUUCCCCGUGUAGCGGUGAAAUGCGUAGAGAUGGGGAGGAACACCAGUGGCGAAGGCGGCCUGCUGGGCUUUAACUGACGCUGAGGCACGAAAGCGUGGGUAGCAAACAGGAUUAGAUACCCUGGUAGUCCACGCUGUAAACG
rnacentral:rRNA from 1 species